ACGCUUGAAGGCAGCAUGCUCGUUAAGAGUCAUCACCACUCCCUAAUCUCAAGUACCCAGGGACACAAACACUGCGGAAGGCCGUGGGGUCCUCUGCCUAGGAAAACCAGAGACCUUUGUUCACUUGUUUAUCUGCUGACCUUCCCUCCACUAUUGUCCUGUGACCCUGCCAAAUCCCCCUCUGCGAGAAACACCCAAGAAUGAUCAAUAAAAAAAAAUAAUAAUAAUAAUAAAAAGAAAGAAAGAAUUAAACAAGAAAAAAAAAAGACCACAAAAAAAAAAAAAAAAAAAGAAAUGUAAUCCCCAAUGCAGGAGAUGGGGCCUGGUGGGAGGUGUCUGUGUCAUGGGACCAAUGACAGAAGAUCCCUCCUGAAUCGCUUGGUGCCCUCCUUGUAGUAAUGAGUGAGUUCUCACUCUGAGUUCAGAGGAGGUCUGGUUGUUCAAAAGAGUGUGGCACCUGCCCUCUGCCCAUGCUCCCAGCCCCAGGGAUUUCUUUUGAGGGGCACAAAAAUCGACUAAAACAGCAACCACAGCCAUUGGUCUUUUAUGUCAUCAUUCUUACAUCUCUUCUCUCCUAGCUUCCUCUCCUAUUUCACUUGCUGUUCCUGGCCUCUUCUUCUAGCUUGACUCUCCUGAUCCCCUUUCUUUUCUGUUCCUUCCCUUCUUUCCACUCUUGUCACUGCCUAAGAUGGUGAUGCUCACAGCUAAGGAGUUUGCUCACCCUGGCCAUAAGACGAAGGGUUAGGAUUGGCUAGUCACUGUUUUUAACUAAACAGGGGUAGACACUUGGCCAUUGGAACCUAGAAUUCUGUCUGUCAUUGGCCUUGGGCUCCGUUUGCUCUGCAUCCCGCAUGUGAACACUGACCGGGGCCUGUUUCCCUCCUACUGCUCCAUCUCCAAGAGCAGCAUGACAGUCACACAUUGCUCAAGCUAGAAAUGUGACAGUAUCUCAGUCUGUCCUCUCCCUUCCAUGUCAUAUCUAAGCAGCCAGGGAGUCCUGUCUAUCCCAAGGCACGCCUCCUGUCCCUUUCCUCUCCACCACACCGCCCCUGCUCAUGCCCACUCUUCUGACUGAACUCAUUACAUUCCCUCCUACCUCGUUUCCCAGGCUCUAAACUCACCUUCUGGGAACCUCUGAUCCCUGCUUACAUCCAUGGCUCCUUCUGCCUCUAAGAUAAGAUGCAUGUACCUUGGCCUGGCCUGCAGGGUCCUCCAGAGCAGGCCCACUUAACCUUGCCAUCUUCAUCUGGCCCUGCGCCUCACACCCUACGUUCUGGCCAUAUUGGACCCUAGCAGUUCUCAAAAAUAUGUGGUGUCCAUCCUACUAUGAAAUUUUAUCUUAUCUUAUGCUAAGACAUUCCUGUUAAUGGGAGGACUGCCCAUGUUUAGCAAAAUACGUAGAUAAACUGCUUUGAAAUAGAAGAUAAGCCUCCAAGGACAUAGAAGAAAAUAAAUAAGAGAUAGCUGAGCCACACCACAUGAGAAAUGAACAGAAAGUCUUCCCUUCUUUUUUUUAAUGUAAGAUACACGCACAUAUAGAAGAGUAAGUCAUAUAUGUUCAGUUUUAAAAAUAAUUGUAAAGCAAAUACACAUGGAACCAUCACCAAGGUCAAGAUGCAGAGCAUGGCCGGGAUUCAGAAGCUCGUCCUGGCCACAGCUUCAGGCGAACAGGGUUCGGGGGUGAGAGAAAUUGGGAAAGAAGACAGAGGAGCAGGGAAAGCUCAGGAUGUGGUGAAUUUGCCUGUUUCCUUCAAUUUCCAGUAGAAAUUCCUAACGUAUCUGAUAAUGGGGAGUGGGCGUGGAAGGUGUUGCAGGAAGCCAAGGGGGUCUAUCCCAUGCUUGGGUUGACCCUGGACAGAGAAAAAGGAACAUCUACAGAUGCAGAAAGAAAAAUAAGAACUCAAAAGAAAUGCAACGGGAGUCAGGGUGAGAUCUGGAUUGCUAAACUGGGUCAUGGCUGUCCUUGAUGCCUUUCCCAGACUCACAUCCUACUUUCAACUUCCAGAAUCAUUCCUGUUCCCUGCCAGGGAAAGGUGAGCCCAAAGAAAAAACCGAGCAUAAAGUAAAGUGCACAUCAUUUAUUUCUUCAGCAUUCACUCACCCAUUCAUUCAGCAGGCAUGUGUUGCACGCCCGGCACUGUGUUAGGGCUGGGGAGACCAUAGACACCAAAAGCAGCCGCCAUCCUUGGCUUAGGGCUCCUUAUGAUCCAGCAGUGAGCACUUUCCCCUGAGCCUGGUGUGGAGGAGAAUUGGCUACACUGCAGGAGGAAGCCACCCCAGGCUCAUUUGGGUCCUUUAAAUAAACCCUUUGGUUCUUCUGGGAUAUGACUGUGUGCUAAUUUCAUGAGAUAGCAUGACAUUGUCACUGCUUUUUAUCCUUCACAAUUGCAUAGGGCAUGUACCAGAGAAAGGAAGAGAGAGAGGAAGUUAGUGCAUAAGUGGAUAAUCCAAGCGAAGUUUCCCUCCUUCCGUUCUCUUUGCAGGUCUAUGUAUUCCUGUGCUUACCUUGUGCGUGCGUGAUGCAUGGAUGUUGCUGCUAGGGGACAUUCAUAUGGACCUAAGUGUCAAGAACACUGGGAGCCAAUAGAUCCAUUUGGACCCAUUUUGGGGACUAAAUGCAGGUUUCAUACCUCAAGCCUCUACAAGAAGAUAAGAAACCCCCACAAAGAAACACUGAGCGCAUGCCCAAAACAGAAUUUUACUACGUUGCCCAGGCUGGUCUUGAACUCCUCGUCUCAAGGGAUCCUCCUGCCUCAGCCUCCCAAAGUGCUGGAAUUACAGGUGUAAGCCACCCCGCCCAGCCUGUAUCUGCAUUCUUGAAGGCUCUCCCGGUGAUUCCCAAGAGCAGCCAGUAUUGAGAGCCGGGGACAGAAGGACUUAACCAUCCUGGGGCACAUGGCAGAAUUGCAUUUCCUAGCUCCCUGAGAUUAGGUGACUGUGUGGCUUGGUCUCGACAAUGGGAAUGUGAACAGAGAUGGUGUCACUUCUGUGAGAGAAUAUCAGGAGCGAGAGUGAUUUGCUGCAGUAUUUUGACUUCUGUGCUGUCAAUCAAUAACAUCUCAGAUGGAAGUUUCUCCGACACUGGGGUGCUAGAAGGAAAACGACGUGGAGCAGAGAACCAGCCAGUUUGUGAUAAACAUUUACAAUAAGCAGUCUAAUAAACAAACAACAUUUUUAAGUGCUUUUUUCUUUUUCUUUUCUUUUCUUUUUUUUUUUGGGAGGCAGAGUUUCACCCUUGUCGCCCAGGCUGGAGGGCAGAGGCAUGAUCUCGGCUCACUGCAACCUCCACCUCCCGGAUUCAGGCGAUUCUCCUGCCUCGGUCUCCUGAGUAGCUGGGAUUAUAGGCACCUGUCUCCAUGCCUGGCUAAUUUUUUGUAUUUUUACCAGAGACAGGGUUUUGUCGUGAUGGCCAGGCUGGUCUCAAACUCCUAACCUCAGGUGAUCCACCAGCCUUGGCCUCCCAGCAUGUUGGGAUUACAGGCGUGAGCCACUGUGCCCAGCAGCUUUUUUCGUUUAGAUGCCAGGAUUCAGGUAGUUAUUUGUUACCACGGUAUAACCUAGCCCAUCCUAACAAAUAUGGGAGUGGAUCAUUUGUCCUCUUGCCUGGCCCCUGUCACUUCUUCUCUGGGACUAAGAAGGAUUAGGAAAGAGACAUAAAAGUUCAUAUGUACCCCGUAGGGACUGCUCAGAGAUGGGAGCAGAAAGAGGAGAUCUUAGAACCAGACGUGAUGACUGUCAGAGUGAAGUCCCAUGCCCUCACCCCAACCCUUUCCUUCCAUUUAUAUCUUCAUUUUUUUCACACAACAAACACUAAAUAAAAGCCACACACUCUAGACCUGAGUGUUGUAUUCG
rnacentral:lncRNA from 10 species